GUGUAGAGAUGCAACACGGGAGACUUAAAAUCUCUCGCUCGCAAGGGCGUGCCGGUUCGAUUCCGGC
rnacentral:tRNA from 1 species